UGUACCUACGGGACGCAGCAGUGGGGAAUAUUGCACAAUGGGGGAAACCCUGAUGCAGCGACGCCGCGUGAGUGAAGAAGUAUUUCGGUAUGUAAAGCUCUAUCAGCAGGAACGAGACAAGACGGUACCUGACUGAGAAGCCCCGGCUAACUACGUGCCAGCAGCCGCGGUAAUACGUAGGGGGCAAGCGUUAUCCGGAAUUAUUGGGUGUAAAGGGUGCGUAGACGGAAGAACAAGUUGGUUGUGAAAUCCCUCGGCUCAACUGAGGAACUGCAACCAAAACUAUUCUCAUUGAGUGUCGGAGG
rnacentral:rRNA from 1 species